rnacentral:rRNA from 1 species
UCCAGACUCCUACGGGAGGCAGCAGUGGGGAAUAUUGCACAAUGGGGGAAACCCUGAUGCAGCAACGCCGCGUGAGUGAGGAAGUAUUUCGGUAUGUAAAGCUCUAUCAGCAGGGAAUAGAAAAGAAGGUACCUGAAAAAGAAGCCCCGGCUAACUACGUGCCAGCAGCCGCGGUAAUACGUAGGGGGCAAGCGUUAUCCGGAUUUACUGGGUGUAAAGGGAGCGUAGACGGAAAGGCAAGUCAGAAGUGAAAGCCCAAGGCUCAACCAUGGGACUGCUUUUGAAACUGUCAAACUAGAGUGCGGGAGAGGUAAGAGGAAUGCCUAGUGUAGCGGUGAAAUGCGUAGAUAUACGGAGGAACACCAGUGGCGAAGGCGGAUUGCUGGACAGUAACUGACGCUGAGGCGCGAAAGCGUGGGGAGCAAACAGGAUUAGAUACCCGUGUAUA